rnacentral:tRNA from 1 species
GGCAUAGCUCAGUUGGUAGAGCAACGGACUCCAAAUCCGUGUGCCGAGGGUUCGAUUCCUUCUGCCC